ensembl:snRNA U6 U6 spliceosomal RNA
GUGCUCACUUCGGCAGCACAUGUACUAAAAUUGGAACAAAACAGAGAAGAUUAGCAUGGCCCCUGUGCAAGGAUGACACAUAAAUUCAUGAAUAACAUGGACUUAGC